rnacentral:rRNA from 1 species
UACCAGCGGUCCAAGUCGCAGCCAUUUUUAUUGGGUCUAAAACAUUCGUAGCUUGCUCUGUAAGUCUCUUGUGAAAUCUUACAUCUUAAGUGUAAGGCGUGCAAGAGAUACUACAAAGCUAGAGACCGGAAGACGCAAGGAGUACGCCUAAGGAAGUGGUAAAAUAUGUUAAUCUUAGGUGGACUAACAAUGGCGAAGGCACCUUGCGAGCACGGAUCUGACAGUGAGGAAUGAAGGCUAGGGGCGCAAAAUGGAUUAGAUACCCUCGUA